GAUGAACGCUAGCGGCAGGCCUAAUACAUGCAAGUCGGACGGGAUCCAUCGGAGAGCUUGCUCGAAGAUGGUGAGAGUGGCGCACGGGUGCGUAACGCGUGAGCAACCUACCUCUAUCAGGGGGAUAGCCUCUCGAAAGAGAGAUUAACACCGCAUAAUAUCAACAGUUCGCAUGUUCAGUUGAUUAAAUAUUUAUAGGAUAGAGAUGGGCUCGCGUGACAUUAGCUAGUUGGUAGGGUAACGGCUUACCAAGGCGACGAUGUCUAGGGGCUCUGAGAGGAGAAUCCCCCACACUGGUACUGAGACACGGACCAGACUCCUACGGGAGGCAGCAGUAAGGAAUAUUGGUCAAUGGGCGGAAGCCUGAACCAGCCAUGCCGCGUGCAGGAUGACUGCCCUAUGGGUUGUAAACUGCUUUUGUCCAGGAAUAAACCUUUCUACGUGUAGGAAGCUGAAUGUACUGGAAGAAUAAGGAUCGGCUAACUCCGUG
rnacentral:rRNA from 1 species